rnacentral:rRNA from 1 species
GGGUGAGUAAUGUAUAGGUAAUCUGCCCUUUGGACUGGGAUAACCCCGAGAAAUCGGGGACAAUACCAGAUGAUGCAGCGGAACCGCAUGGUUAUGUUGUUAAAGAUUUAUCGCCAAAAGAUGAACCUAUAUCCCAUCAGGUAGUUGGUAAGGUAACGGCUUACCAAGCCUACGACGGGUAGCUGGUCUGAGAGGAUGAUCAGCCACAUUGGAACUGAGACACGGUCCAGACUCCGACGGGAGGCAGCAGUGAGGAAUAUUGCGCAAUGGGCGAAAGCCUGACGCAGCAACGCCGCGUGGAUGAUGAAGUUCUUCGGAAUGUAAAGUCCUUUUGUAGAGGAAGAAUAUCUUGGUUUACCAGGACUGACGGUACUCUACGAAUAAGCCACGGCUAAC